rnacentral:rRNA from 1 species
CACGUAGGGGCAAGCGUUGUCCGGAUUUAUUGGGCGUAAAGAGCUCGUAGGCGGUUUUCGUAAGUCGGAUGUGAAAACUCCAGCUCAACUUGGAGACGCCAUUCGAUACUGCGAUGACUUGAGUCGUAGGGGAGUGUGGAAUUCCUGGUGUAGCGGUGAAAUGCGCAGAUAUCAGGAGGAACACCGGCGGUGAAGGCGGCACUCUGGGCCGGUACUGACGCUGAGGAGCGAAAGCGUGGGUAGCAAACAGG